UGGGGUAUGGAAUGGAUAGUCUCUUGGAGACUACCCGCCACGUAGGCGCCACGUCAUCACGGGAGGAGGAGCAUCCUCUUGGGGACUACCCAAGGGUGUGGAAGACUACCCACCUUUACUAAAAAAAAUCAAUAUAUUAAUAAAGGAGAUAGAGAGAGAGAGAGAGAGAGGGGACUACCAAUGAACAAGCAGCCAAUCAACAAGCCCGUCGCCUCCGUCUUGCAGACGACGCCGGAGACGAGACGCCAAGGAAGGGGCGGUGUGGGACAUUCGCGACGAGCCGGGACGGGUAGGGGACGACCCCCAUACCCUUUGGUCUAAUAUCCCACUCAGAAAGGAACUUACUUGCGUAAAAUACUAUUUUGCUACAAAUGGUGGUGUUCUUAUGAUGUCUCCUUUUGUUUUCUUCAAUACAACUAUGUCAGUUUCAUUUACAUUGAGGAAGACACAGACUUGGCUUGCUCAAGUUCCCAGUUGACAACUUCAAUGGAAAAAGCUAUAAGAUAUCGUUCCCUCUUCCCGUAGCUCUGAUGUAUGUAUCGAAUACUUGGCUUACUAAUUUAUAGUAAAAAAAGACACCUGGCUUACUAACUUCCUAACCCAUAUGAAAGAGAGUCUGGAGAGAGAGAGAGAGAGAGAGAGAGAGAAAGGGGGGGGGGGGAAGAGAUGGGAGACAGAGACGGAGAAGUCCCCGACUUCGACACGGUGGACGCGCCGCACAUGGCUCUCCAGCGUCGACAUGACAGACGGGUCCGCCGUACAUGGUGGUGGGGUUAUGUCGGUUAUCCGGCGUCGGCACAGUGAAGAGGCAUCCACAAGGCAAGUAUUUUGAUUGUAUGUUAAAUAACAUCAUUAUUAGUAAUCAAUUUUGAAUGAUUUUAGGGGGUUUGGUUGCUGCAAAUGAGAUUUUGUUUAAUAGAGUAAUAAGAACAGUGAAUUUUGUGUGCCUUUGAUAAUUUGUGUAUGAGAAAACAGACCAAGAAAAUUUUGCAUUUUUGUGGACAAAGGGAAUUUAUGCCCAUAAAUAUAUGUCAAAUUCACAUCAUAUGAAAAAAUAUUUAAUAUAUGGUACUGUUGACUUAUGCAUGUUUGGUCUGUCGUCAUGAGGCUAUGGCGUGGCGGGAAGUGCGAGUUUCUCCACUUGCAGCCUUUGCGGUCUAACAGAUAAAUCUAAGCCAAAGGGUCGGUUCAGUGACGGGUUAAAAUGACGAUUUUUUUUACAGGUGAAAGUUACCCCAAACACAUUUUGCCAAUGUUGGCAUUUUAUAUGGAUACAUAUGCAUGGGUGUUUGGACUUUUGAGUCGAUAUACAUCCAGGUGUUAAGAGGCUGUGAUGAGUUUAGUCAACAUCGUUUCUUGGCGAGGUAGAAUCGGAGAACGGCAACUGUGAUGUUUUCCACUUGCAACCUCAGUUGCAGCCAUGGCAGUCUAAUAGACUGAUAAGAGCCAAAUAGGUUGGUCGAGUAACGAGUCAAAAUGUUGGAUUUUUAUACCGGGUAUGAGAAUUAAGAUCAAACAUGAUGUGUCAUUCAUAAAAAGAAAAAAACGAUAUCAGUUUAAUUAUUGAUGUAAUAGUUUUGUUUGAUUUUCUAUUGCACUACUUGCUGGCUGUA